rnacentral:lncRNA from 1 species
ACAUGGUGACCCUAGUUGAUCAUAACCCUCCUAAGGACAUAAGGAACAGAAUUACUCACAGGGGAUUUGCAUAACAAUAUUAUGACAUUAAACACCAAAAACAUCGUAUAGAAAAGUACAAAAAGCUGAAUCGCAGAGGCUUGCCUAACAAUAAUAAAGGAUAGAAACAUUAAUACAUGAUCAGGAGGAAACAUGAUGCACACUACAAUGCUGUGAUAUUUGAGGAUUGCAAAAAAAGUUCUCCAUUCUAAUUUAAUCCAACCAAAAUCCCUUGAGAUUCAGCUUAAUCAUUUGAAAUUCAAAAUCAAAUGAUAUUUCUAUCCACGUACAUAUAGAAAUCCGCAAACCAAUUCUCCUUUCUGAUUCAAUCCAGCCAAAAUUCCUCAUGAAUGAUAUUACAUAGCUAGUAAUCUACAAUCAACUGCCAAUAAGAACCGAAGCUCAGAUUCUUCAAAGCAUCGAUUCAUCGCACUACUCGGGAUUCUCGCAAAAAGAAUAUGCGGAAAAGAAAAAACAAAAUAUAUAGAAACUAACAACGCGGCAUUGGAUCUCUCGGAGCAUACAAGCGCAACAAACAAUGGCGAAUGGCGAAGAGAACAAUGAGAUCGAGAGAGAGAAAUUGGAACCUGAAACGGAAGAAGGAGAUCGAGAACGAGGGAGAAGGAAAGAUCUCGAGAAGCAUUUUGUUGUUGUUUUCUUCCUCUGCAACUUGCUGCCUCCUCCUACAUUUGGAUCUCUGCUUCCUUUCGCCUCUCUAUUGUUUAAUGCCGUUCUUCAAAGGAUUUGUGGUUUGGUGAUGGGUUUCCAUAUGAACAUGCAGAGAGAGGAGGAGGAAGAGAGAGUCAACAAUGGAAGAAGAAACGAAAGGCGGGAUUUUCCUUGUGCGCGCCUACGCCGUUGCUUUUUGCUUUGCU